rnacentral:rRNA from 1 species
UACGUAGGUGGCAAGCGUUGUCCGGAAUUAUUGGGCGUAAAGCGCGCGCAGGCGGUCCUUUAAGUCUGAUGUGAAAGCCCACGGCUCAACCGUGGAAGGUCAUUGGAAACUGGGGGACUUGAGUACAGAAGAGGAAAGCGGAAUUCCAAGUGUAGCGGUGAAAUGCGUAGAGAUUUGGAGGAACACCAGUGGCGAAGGCGGCUUUCUGGUCUGUAACUGACGCUGAGGCGCGAAAGCGUGGGGAGCAAACAGGG